GACGAACGCUGGCGGCGUGCCUAAUACAUGCCAGUUGAGCGCUGAAGGUUGGUACUUGUACCAACUGGAUGAGCAGCGAACGGGUGAGUAACGCGUGGGGAAUCUGCCUUUGAGCGGGGGACAACAUUUGGAAACGAAUGCUAAUACCGCAUAAAAACUUUAAACACAAGUUUUAAGUUUGAAAGAUGCAAUUGCAUCACUCAAAGAUGAUCCCGCGUUGUAUUAGCUAGUUGGUGAGGUAAAGGCUCACCAAGGCGAUGAUACAUAGCCGACCUGAGAGGGUGAUCGGCCACAUUGGGACUGAGACACGGCCCAAACUCCUACGGGAGGCAGCAGGAGGGAAUCUUCGGCAAUGGACGAAAGGCUGACCGAGCAACGCCGCGGGAGUGAAGAAGGUUUUCGGAUCGUAAAACUCUGUUGGUAGAGAAGAACGUUGGUGAGAGUGGAAAGCUCAUCAAGUGACGGUAACUACACAGAAAGGGACGGCUAACUACGUG
rnacentral:rRNA from 1 species